rfam:Clostridiales bacterium PH28_bin88 ph28_371, whole genome shotgun sequence.
GACUGAUCAAGGCAAACCCUGUGAAAGCAGGGGGCGCAAAGCUACGGGUCUAAAGCUGAAAGGCCAUGAUCGCCGGGCUGCCAGU